rnacentral:rRNA from 1 species
CCUACGGGGCGCAGCAGUGGGGAAUAUUGCGCAAUGGGGGCAACCCUGACGCAGCAACGCCGCGUGCGGGAUGAAGGCUUUCGGGUUGUAAACCGCUUUCAGCAGGGAUGACAUCGACAGUACCUGCAGAAGAAGCCCCGGCUAACUACGUGCCAGCAGCCGCGGUAAUACGUAGGGGGCGAGCGUUAUCCGGAUUUACUGGGUGUAAAGGGAGCGUAGACGGAAUUGCAAGUCUGAUGUGAAAAUCCGGGGCCCAACCCCGGAAGUGCAUUGGAAACUGUAUUUCUAGAGUGUCGGAGAGGCAA